AACGGUCCAUUAGUGCGAUAAGUGACGUAGUCACAAUCGGUUGAUAGUGAAAUCGCUUCGAGUAGACUUCGACCAAGCUGGUAAUGAACCGUUGGCAGGGAAAAGUAGCUGUCAUAACGGGUGCUAGUGCUGGCAUCGGCGCAGCGAUCGCCCGGGAACUUGCCAAGGCCGGAAUGAUCACCGUUGGACUGGCACGGCGAUCUGAAAAAUUACAGGAUCUGAAGAGCCAACUAACGGUGGAUGCUUCCGAGAGGUUUCACUCCGUGCGUUGUGAUGUUUCCAAAAAAGACGAUAUCAAAAGAGCUUUUCAAGAGAUUCGAGAUAGAUUUGGAGGAGUUGAUGUACUGAUUAACAAUGCUGGCGUUGUGAAGCAGACGGCACUUUUCGCCGAUGAUGAUGGAGAAUCUCUGCAGGAUAUUUUAGAUACCAACGUUCUGGGGCUGACCUUAUGCAGCCGUGAAGCUCUCAAAUCGAUGAAAGCCCGUGCAACUGACGGGCAUAUUGUGCAUAUUAAUAGUAUAGCAGGACACAAGGUACUUCCCUUUCCACACAUGAAUAUGUACGCAGCUAGUAAACAUGCUGUCACCGCUAUCACGGAAACGAUGCGAAAUGAACUACGAGAAAUGGGCUCUAAAGUGAAAGUGACGAGCAUCAGUCCCGGUGUGGUGAAAACUGAAAUUGUAGCUAGUUUAGAGGAACACAGAGACUUCCCAAAACUGGAGUGCGAGGACAUCGCAGAAGCAGUCCUGUACGUUCUGGGGACUCCACCGCACGUUCAAGUUCACGAGUUAACUAUUAAACCAGUAGGAGAGCAGUUUUAAUUGACGAGUUUUAAAAGAACCUAGAACUCAGUUUGAUACAGGAUCAACUCAAGUCUACCACUUGAAAUUAAGCCAAACUCGACUUCGCCUAAACCAUUUCCCCAACGGGCUUAAUCGUGAGUUCAUGAAUCUGAACAUGCGGUGGUGUACUCAAAGCGUAGACUAUGCCAUCCGCAAUAUCCUCCGGUUCGAGCAUAGGCAUUGUGUCAACCUGUAGAUUAUUGUAGGUGUCACACAACUGUACCAUCGGUGUCCUCACAAAACCAGGACUGAUGCUCUACAAUUAUAUUAAAAAUGAGUGGAACAUGCACAAAAUAAUAAAAGUUCCUGGUUACCGUGACUUUGAUCUUUGUUCCACCUUGUUGUAGCUGGAUCCUCAUGGUUUCGGUGAGUGCUGUUACUGCAUGUUUACUGGCUGGGUACAGGUUAGCUCCCGGAUAGAAAGGUACCUUGUGCCCUUCAAUACUAUUAAUAUGUAUGAUAUGUCCAUUCACGGCCCUCUUUUUCAUCGAUUGGAACGCUUCCCGGCUGCAUAUAGCCAGACCCAGCACAUUGACAUCUAAAGAACGACGCAAAGCGUCAGUAUUACCUGUUUCCAGCA